GAACGUAUGGAAUAGCCGUCAGAGCGCUUUGCUGGUUUCCAAGAGGCGCGGGUUCAAAUCCCGCUACGUUGA
rnacentral:tRNA from 1 species